GAUGAACGCUGGCGGCGUGCCUAAUACAUGCAAGUCGAGCGAACGGACGAGAAGCUUGCUGCUCUGAUGUUAGCGGCGGACGGGUGAGUAACACGUGGAUAACCUACCUAUAAGACUGGGAUAACUUCGGGAAACCGUAGCUAAUACCGGAUAAUAUUUUGAACCGCAUGGUUCAAAAGUGAAAGACGGUCUUGCUGUCACUUAUAGAUGGAUCCGCGCUGCAUUAGCUAGUUGGUAAGGUAACGGCUUACCAAGGCAACGAUGCAUAGCCGACCUGAGAGGGUGUUCGGCCACACUGGAACUGACACACGGUCCAGGCUCCUACGGGAGGCAGCGGUAGGGACUCUUCCGCAAUGGGCGGAAGCCUGCCGGAGCGACGCCGCGUGGGUGAUGAAGGUCUUCGGAUCGUAAAACUCUGUUAUUAGUGAAGAACAUAUGUGUAAGUAGCUGUGCACAUCUUGACGGUACCUAAUCAGAAAGCCACGGCUAACUACGUG
rnacentral:rRNA from 1 species